UGUCUGUGUGCCAGAAUGUCUGUCUGUGUGCCAGUAUGUCUGUGAGUCCGUCAGUGUCUGUGUGUUUCAGUAUGGCUGUCUGUGAGUUUCAAAAUGUCUGUAUGUGUGUAUAUCUGUCAGUGUCUGUGUCUAUGUGUGUUUCAGUCUGUCUGUGUGUGUGUGCCAGAAUGUGUGUAUGUCUGUCAGUGUGUCAGUAUGUCUAUGUGUGAGUCUGUCAGUGUGGUUCUGUAUGUCUGUGUUUGUCAAUAUGUCUGUCAAUGUCUGUCUGUAUGUGUGUUUCAGUAUGUCCGUCUCUCUGUGUGUAUAUGUGCCAGUAUGUCUGUCAGUGUAUCUGUAUGUCUGUGUGUGUUAG